rnacentral:rRNA from 1 species
GACGAACGCUGGCGGCGUGCUUAACACAUGCAAGUCGAACGGAAAGGCCCCCUUGUGGGGUACUCGAGUGGCGAACGGGUGAGUAACACGUGAGUAACCUACCCUUGACUUUGGGAUAACUUCAGGAAACUGGGGCUAAUACCGGAUAGGAGCUCCUGCUGCAUGGUGGGGGUUGGAAAGUUUCGGCGGUUGGGGAUGGACUCGCGGCUUAUCAGCUUGUUGGUGGGGUAGUGGCUCACCAAGGCUUUGACGGGUAGCCGGCCUGAGAGGGUGACCGGCCACAUUGGGCCUGGGAUACGGCCCAGACUCCUACGGGAGGCAGCAGUGGGGAAUAUUGCACAAUGGGCGGAAGCCUGAUGCAGCAACGCCGCGUGCGGGAUGACGGCCUUCGGGUUGUAAACCGCUUUCGCCUGUGACGAAGCGUGAGUGACGGUAAUGGGUAAAGAAGCACCGGCUAACUACGU